rnacentral:lncRNA from 1 species
UUUAGCGACGAAAAGUCCUUUUUGUCGCCGCUAUUGACUUUUAGCGGCGACAGCUCGUCGCUAAAGGGUCGCCGCUAUAGAUCGGCCGCUAUUGGUCACCUGUCGUCGCUAAAAAGGUUGUGUCGUCACUAUUGUGCAUGACUUUUAGCGGCGACAUUUGUGACUUUUAGGGGCGACAUACGUCGCCACUAAAAGUAAAAAAAAAGGAAAAAAAAUAAUUUACUUCUAUUUACAUUGUUACUCACAUACAUGCCAAAACGUUCAUAUGUAUACAAAGAAUUAAACAGUAAUUCACAUUCAAACAACCAAAAAUUACAUAGGAGUUUGUUUAUAUCACCAUACUAAAACAGUAGUAGUGCUUUCAACCCGCGUGCUGUGGCGAGGAUGACAAACAUUUGAAGUUUGACAUUGUAUGAGUUAAACUACAAUUUGAUUCGCAGACCUGUUAUGUAUCGAAAAGCACCUGCCGCAACUUAACUUGUCGGAAGAUGGUAGUUUCUGGCCUCUCUUCAUUCAGACCCAGCCAUGCCCCAUCUUCCACUGAGUGUACCCUGAUAUAGAUUACCUGCAAAAGAAUAAAAGGAGGAUAUGAGUACACUAAAGUUUCGGCUGCAAACGCAUCGGUUAACUGUUGCAUUUACGGCCUGUUCGCAGCCGUUAUACGUACAUAAACAAGGUCGUUUAACGGCUGCGAACGGGCCGUAAACGUAGCGGAUAACCGCUGCGUUGCAACCGUUAAACCGCUGUGUUUACGGCCCAUACGCAGCCGUUAUAUGGCCAUAAACGCAACCAUUUAACGGCUGCAAACGGGCUGUAAACACAGCGGGUUAACGGCUGCAAACGCAGCGGUUAAAUAACACAAUGAGAACCCAUUGUAAGCCUAUACAAUCAUAGAUUCAUAGUUACCAAACAUUUAGUAUAAUCAUAGUUGUCAAAUAUCAACAGCUACCAAGUCUAACCUCACUAAGUAAACCCAAGUAUAAUACUAGUAAUGCCAAAUAGUUCAACAUCUCACGUGAACCAUGCACCUUUAACUUACUUCAUGCAACCUUAAAUAAAAUACCAAGGGCGACCGGUACCCGUGAUCGUAAUCGAAACGACCCGUAUGACCCGCUAGCAAACCGAAUAACCCAACUGUGCCAAAUGACCCAUUUUAGGAAAAAAAAUCAAGAGCACCUUUUGCUCCCAACCCGUAUUGACUGAGCCCAUUUUUGACCCCAACCAAAUUGAUAGUUUUUUAUUGACCUAUUUUGACUCAAACUUAUUUUGCUCCAAACCUGUAUUGACCCGAACAUUUUUUUGCUCAAAACUCAUUUUGACCAAAACUUAUUUUGCUCUUAAACCAUUUUUGACCCAAACUCAUUUUGCUUGUAAGGUUUAAGACUUUUACAUAUUUAAUUCCUGUUAGCAACAGUUUGAUUAUUGUGGGCCUUACACGUUGAGGGACUGUUGUUUUGAAGACGGCUUCUAUCCAGGCUGGUGCAAUCUUUUGAUUCUACAUUUCUUAAUUGGAUGAAAAUGGCAAUUUGAACCAAACCCCAGGGACUAAAAUGGCAAUUUACUCUACAUUUAUAUAACUGUAUACGUUCAAAGUGAAGGUAAAGUUGUUGCAUAAUUUCACAUCACAGGUCAAACACACUUUUUAUACCGAUCGAAGUAGUA